AGCCCUGUAGUUGAAUAACAACGUUGAGUUGCAGCCUCGAAAGUGGCGGAUUACGGUUCCCCCAGGGUUU
rnacentral:tRNA from 1 species